rnacentral:rRNA from 1 species
UACGAAGGGGGCUAGCGUUGCUCGGAAUCACUGGGCGUAAAGGGUGCGUAGGCGGAUCUUUAAGUCAGGGGUGAAAUCCUGGAGCUCAACUCCAGAACUGCCUUCGAUACUGGCGAUCUUGAGUCCGGAAGAGGUGAGUGGAACUCCUAGUGUAGAGGUGGAAUUCGUAGAUAUUAGGAAGAACACCAGUGGCGAAGGCGGCUCACUGGUCCGGUACUGACGCUGAGGUGCGAAAGCGUGGGGAGCAAACAGG